rnacentral:rRNA from 1 species
GGACUACUAGGGUAUCUAAUCCUGUUUGAUCCCCACGCUGUCGUGCAUGAGCGUCAGUUACGAGCCAGUGAGCCGCCUUCGCCACCGGUGUUCUUCCCAAUAUCUACGAAUUUCACCUCUACACUGGGAAUUCCACUCACCUCUCUCGUACUCGAGCCAAACAGUUUCAAUGGCAAUUCCGGAGUUGAGCUCCGGGCUUUCACCACUGACUUGGAUGGCCGCCUGCGCACGCUUUACGCCCAGUAAUUCCGAACAACGCUAGCCCCCUUCGUAUUACCGCGGCGGCUGGCAC